UUGUGGCUAACCACCGUCCACUCAUCAUCGCUACAUCGCUCAACUAAGAUAUGCUUUGGGUCUCGCUCCUCCCUAGGGGACUCAGACUCUACAACCACCACAUUGAUCAUGAAACUUUCAAGGCCCACCAAUAAGUGAAUCUUCGAAGGAAUGGGAGACUCUGCCAAGUGCCACAAUUGAACUCUAACGAAAUCCAGUGGGUCCAUUUUCAGCAAAUUCCAGUUAAUGUCACAGUACGCUUAUUUGCAACUUGAUAUACAUGGAGUUGAUGUAGGC
rnacentral:lncRNA from 1 species